rnacentral:rRNA from 1 species
CACGUAGGGUGCGAGCGUUGUCCGGAAUUAUUGGGCGUAAAGAGCUCGUAGGCGGUGUGUCGCGUCGGCCGUGAAAUCCCGAGGCUCAACCUCGGGUCUGCAGUCGAUACGGGCGGACUGGAGUUCGGCAGGGGAGACUGGAAUUCCUGGUGUAGCGGUGAAAUGCGCAGAUAUCAGGAGGAACACCGGUGGCGAAGGCGGGUCUCUGGGCCGAUACUGACGCUGAGGAGCGAAAGCGUGGGGAGCGAACAGG